GUUCUGAUUAAUUAGCUAAUUUAGUGACACUUUAUCUCACAGGUCCUGGACUUUCUCAGUAAUUUCCUGGAGAGGACUUUGUAAUUUGGAACUAAUUAAAGAGAAAACAGAGAUAGAGACAGCACACAAAUGGGCUGCACCUGGAUGUUGACCACGUUGUUGCUGGGCGACAUGUCGCUUUCCUGACGCUCCGACAUCUGCUUCUGGGAGACGAUACGGUAGAUCUCUGACGGGACAGGGAGAAAGGUUAAAUAAAGAAGGUUUAACAGCACAAACAGAAGUGAGGAUUCUCACCAGCAAAAGCCCGGGCCUCGUCAGUGGGAACAGCUCGCAGGUGACGCAGGUCGCUCUUGUUGCCCACCAGCAUGAUGACGAUAUUGCUGUCGGCGUGGUCUCUCAGCUCCUUCAGCCAGCGCUCCACGUUCUCGAAAACGGGCCUGCAGGGACUACACAAAGAGCCAGGAGGGAUUCAUAAUCUGUGCUUUGCAAAGAUCAUAAGCCCUGCUGAUUAGCACUCACGCUGAUGUGAUGGCACGGUAGCGCUCCUGGCCAGCUGUGUCCCAGAUCUGGGCCUUCACUGUCUUGCCGUCCACUUGGAUGCUGCGUGUGGCGAACUCGACUCCGAUGGUGCUCUUACUCUCCAGGUUGAACUCAUUCCGGGUGAAUCGGGACAGCAGGUUACUCUUUCCCACACCUGAGUCACCGAUAAGGACCACUGGAUCGCAGAGUGGAGAGAACACAUUUUAAUACAAUCUCUAAGAAUAAAA